rnacentral:rRNA from 1 species
UACGUAGGGUGCAAGCGUUGUCCGGAAUUAUUGGGCGUAAAGAGCUCGUAGGCGGUUUGUCGCGUCUGCUGUGAAAACUCGGGGCUUAACCCCGGGCCUGCAGUGGGUACGGGCAGACUAGAGUGCGGUAGGGGAGACUGGAAUUCCUGGUGUAGCGGUGAAAUGCGCAGAUAUCAGGAGGAACACCGGUGGCGAAGGCGGGUCUCUGGGCCGUAACUGACGCUGAGGAGCGAAAGCCAGGGGAGCAAACGGG